CCAACGAUACCCCCCCCUUGUUUAUGGGAUACAUAACAGGACACUGAGUCAUGAUUUACUGCAGCUUAUGUUCUAUCACAUGGUAACUGAUUAGAAAGUUGUAGUUACUUCUGUUUAAAUAUAUAGCUAUUGCUCUAUCCUCUGGCUCACUUUGAAAACUGGUGCUUCUGAAAGCUGAAGGUUGGUUCAAAGAGGCUGUCUUAGAGGUUUACAUGACAAUGUCUGCAUACUAAACUGGAGGAGUCGUUCCUGAAGCUAUGCCAGGAUUAUCAGGGUUAGCUCUGAUGGAAUGGUCAUAUGGAGACAGAUGAUGAUGCCUGCGAUGACUUUCUAUACCAAGUCUUUAUGUGGUGGAUUGAUUGAUUUUUGAAUAUUGGACCAGCCUGCAUACCUGGAAAAAAUCCCACUUGUGUGUGUAAGUUUAUUUAUUCACUGUUGGAUUGGAUUUGUUAGUACUGUGUUGAGAAUUU